rnacentral:lncRNA from 1 species
AGGACAUUGCGAGGUGACAAUACUUGUAUCUUUGCAUCAGAGGGUACCUGUUGGUCCCGUGGAGGCUGCCGAUAUCGUUCAGGCGGGCUAGUGCUGUUUCUGGUUGGAAGGGGGAUAUCCUGCAGAGCUCGUGGAGGAUGCCGAGGGGUGGUUUGGUAGGGGUGAGUGUCUUCUAAAUGUAAAGAAAACGCAACAUUAUUUACUAUGAAUGAUACAGAGCUGCCUCUCUGAGAUGAGAGCAUUAUAUCAACGUCACGCCUGCCCUAAUGACCCAAGCAACUCCAACAAGAUCUCGAUCUACAGUCAUUCCUUCAUAUAUUAUGAUUAAGCAAUUCAAUAGUUGUAUGAAGCUGGUGCUCUAUGCUGAUCAUGCAGAUCCUGCCGCCUCAGUUGAGAUUUUCACCGGGUGAUGCAAAAGCUGCCGCUAUGUGGGGGGCAACAGCAGCAGUUGGGGCCAUAUGGCUCGUGCAGGUAAUGCUUGUGCCACCACAGUUAUUACUUGCAUGUGUUCAGUAAUGUGGCACAUGCCCAGUGCCGCAGAACUCUUCACAGGGGCAAUGUGCUAUGUGCAAGAGGCUGUCUAGACAAAUGCAAGGUCAUGAUGGCAUAAGAAGAAGGGGAAGCUUCUGUGCCCAAUGACGAGCACGUAUGUGCUGUGCAGCCUUUUGAUUACAUCAGAACACUGAUCAAGGGCCCGACAAGCCCAGGAGAGGAGGGGGGCCCGCCUGCUGCAGGACAAACAGGCCUGCAAGAAAAAAGCGACGCAGCUAACACGGACUCCUGAUCGAAACUAAGGGAGUUUUCUUAGAAUGCAGCAGUGACUGCAGAGCAAAGCUCAGUGUGAGAGAGAUGGGGCCUGCUCAAUCUAUCGGCCUGGAUUGAUACAUGUGUGGUUACUCUGAUAGCAAACGUGCUAGUGGCAUCUUAGCAAGGGGCAUGGAGCUUUAUUGUUCUGUUAGGAGCCAUCAUGGCAUUGCCAGUAGAUUUUUGUCCAGGGCACAUGAUAUCUUCUGAACAGAUAAUGAGCACCGUGCUGUGGGUGACCCUUUCUUAGAGCAGUAUCACGAGUUGAGCUUCCUAAGCUUGCAAGAAUGUCUGAUAAAGACAUCAUGAUCGGUAACUCGAUCCACCCAGUCUAUGCCGAUGUGUGAUCAUUUCAAGCAGUGAUCAAGACCCAAGCUCAAUCAAAAAAUCCAAAUGAGUCCUUUUUUGGGGGGCUGCCGUACUGACGUCAUGAUUUCGGCGUGAUUACGUCAGACCGAAGACACCGUAAAUUAACAGGGCAUAACCCUCUCCGC